rnacentral:rRNA from 1 species
AACGAACGCUGGCGGCAUGCCUAACACAUGCAAGUCGAACGGGAUCCUGGCUUCGGUCAGGUGAGAGUGGCGGACGGGUGAGUAACGCGUGGGAACCUGCCCAGUGGUGGGGGAUAACUGCGGGAAACUGCAGCUAAUACCGCAUGAGCCCGAGAGGGGAAAGAUUUAUCGCCAUUGGAGGGGCCCGCGUUCGAUUAGGUAGUUGGUGAGGUAACGGCUCACCAAGCCGACGAUCGAUAGCUGGUCUGAGAGGAUGAUCAGCCACACUGGGACUGGGACACGGCCCAGACUCCUACGGGAGGCAGCAGUGGGGAAUAUUGCGCAAUGGGCGAAAGCCUGACGCAGCGACGCCGCGUGGGUGAUGAAGGCCUCGGUCGUAAG